AGUAGAUCGGGAAACUCUUCAAAUUAUAAUGAAAUACCGAGACAAGCUUAGCCGACCGAUGGCGGGCCUCAGCGCGCAGCCCUGCUGCGUGAGCCUUUGAGCCGGAGGAUUACAAAGGGCGGCGAGCACUCAAAACCUGUCUGUUCGGAGUUUCAUCUCAUCCUUUGAUGUGGCACU
rnacentral:sRNA from 1 species